GAUGAACGCUGGCGGCGUGCCUAAUACAUGCAAGUCGAGCGAACAGACGCGGCGCUUGCUCCUCUGACGUUAGCGGCGGACGGGUGAGUAACACGUGGAUACCCUACCUAUAAGACUGGGAUAACUUCGGGAAACCGGCGCUAAUCCCGGAUAAUAUAUUGAACCGCAUGGUUCAAUAGUGAAUGACGGUUUUGCUGUCACUUAUAGAUGGUUCCGCGCCGCAUUAGCUAGUUGGUAAGGUAACGGCUUACCACGGCAACGAUGCGUAGCCGACCUGCGAGGGUGAUAGGCCACACGGGAACUGAGACACGGUCCAGACGCCUACGGGAGGCAGCAGUAGGGAAUGUGCCGCAAUGGGCGAAAGCUUGACGGAGCAACGCCGCGUGAGUGAUGAAGGUCUUCGGAUCGUAAAACUCUGUUAUUAGGUAAGAACAAAUGUGUAAGUAACUAUGCACGUCUUGACGGUACCUAGUCAGAAAGCCACGGCUAACUACGUG
rnacentral:rRNA from 1 species